UAUUAUUUGAGCACUAGAGGGCGCGCGUGCUUCUUUCUGUCUAAUUGUGGUCACGUGGGUUGAAGCGGCAACGACGCGUGUGCUGUGAAUGGCUUUUAUUGCCUAAUCAGGGAAAAUUGCCAAAUCUGUCUACCUGUUUCCUCUAAGUCCUGACUGCUUCAGAGCUCUGAGAACGGCCAAACAACAAAACAUCUGGAUGAAGAGGAAGACGGUCACCUGGAUUGUGAAAAGCCAUACAUAUACAGCCAGGGCAUCAAGAAAUAUGACAAACAUGUAGGCCAAACAUGAUCCAAGACUGAUGAUCCAGACGACAGUGCAGCAGAUGACUUUAUAUCUGAGAGGUUUAAACUUCAGAAAGGUUACAGGAUGAACCACUGCCAGGUAACGCUCAACACAAAUCAGACACUCAAACAAAGGACGACCAGUGAUAAGUAGCCCUAGUAAAAAACUGACAAUUCCAUCGACACUUAAAAACCACAUGGCCAAGAUGUCUAAGAAACAUUUCAGGCAGAUAAAAAUCUCACAAACAGAGAAAUUGAGGGUAAAAAAUUCUAAUGUCAUUCCACUUUCAGUUCCUGUAACGAUGAGCCAAAUAACACAGAUGUGUGUUGGAAGACCAACCAAGACAUUGAUGCUUAAUAAACAAAUGUACAGAGAGUCCAUCAAACCAAAAAAAGGAGAUGUAGAGUCUGUGAAUAAUUCAGUUGUGUUGAGGUUCGGUGUUGAGUUAUUCAUGUCCACUUUGUCGUCAUUAACUGUGUGAUCUAUUGAAAGAGUAAAUGGAUUAGGUAAUACAGACUGCAUAAAAAGUAAUAUAUUGUGUUUUUAAGCACACAUACAAAGUUUUAGUUUUAGGUUUUAAGUCCUACCUUAUAUGACAAUGGCAAUCAAACAGACAUUUUCAGAUAUAAUUAAACAAACAAAUGAAAGAAGAGUUUGUUACCUGAAGAGUGAAUCUGCAGUCUCUAUGCAUGUAAAUACUGUAAAUCCCUGUGUUGUACUGUACAUGAACAUGCUCUCAUAUCUGUUAAUCUAUAUAUUGCACAUUUAGUCAAAACACAUGCAAAUGGUUAAUUCCUUAACUACAGCAACAGUAUUAAAUGACAUCAAUAUAUCAUAUCAACUUUGCUUAUAUUUAAAACAGAGCUCAAAAACAAAUCCUUGGGUCAGUUCGUUGAAAUAUUUUAAGACUGCCGCCAGUCAAGUUAGCGUUGUAAAUUUAAACAUGCAGCUAUUUUUGGAAGCAACUGUUUAGCAAACUUUAAAGAUACACAAAAGGUCCUUAAGGCAGUGGUUCUCAAACUUUUUCUGCGUGCGGCCCCCCUUGUGUACGGCGCAGUUUUUCGCGGCACCCCCAAAGAAAAUUUAUGACAAGAGUUUUAAAACUCAACUUUUGAUUAAACAAAACAUAUUAAAUGAUACGAAGUAGUGCUGUUGGUUAGUAGUCUUAUUUUUUUUAGGUUUAAUUGCACAGAAUUCAUUAUAAAUUAAUUUAUUUUAUAAAAUGUCAUAAAACUGGGGCCCCCCUGGCACCAUCUCGCGGCCCCCCUGGGGGCCCCGGCGCCCAGUUUGAGAACCACUGCCUUAAGUAAGGAAUAAUUGACGACGGGCCAUUGAAUUAUAAGAAAAUAAUGCACACCAAGGUGGUAAUGCGGCACGACGUGAAGCGGAGUGCCGUUACACCGCAGGUGUGCAUUAUUUUCAAAUAAUUCAAAGGACCGGAGUCAAUUAUUCCGCUUAUACCACGGUUACCACAAACAUUGCUCUGGUGCCUAUUUUUAAGACAUUUGAAAAGAUAGGUGUGCGGUUUACAGAAAAAUAAUCAACACCCAUAGAACAUUUCUCAGCCAAUCAGAAUGCAGCAUUCAACAGACCCGUGGUAUAAGGUACAGUAAUGUACCCAAAAACAUUGUAUUAUUAUUAUACAGCGACAGAAAACAUACAGUUUUUUUUAAAGGGCUGAUAUAAAUCUCUACAAAACUCCUCUUCUAUACUCUUAUAUCAAAGCUGUCUCCUAGAUGUGUGCACAUCACACUGUAUGUGAUACAUUACAAAACAACAAUUAUUCAAAUGUCUUAAGUAGAAAAGAUUCAAAAACAUUAGGUCUUUAUUCAAAUAGUUUAAAAUAUUUAAAUAAAACACACAGCUUACUCUUAUAUGGAAAAUUGUAAUCGGAUAGCAGAAUGCAAAGCAAAGUGGAACUAUGGUUAGAGAUUCAGACUUGUAUAUCAGGUUUCUGCUAACAAACUGGUAUUUCUGAAUGGCCUGAGGCUGGAAUUGUAGUCUAGAAAUAUAGUCUGUGUUAUAUGACAGAAAUAAAAUUGUUUCAUAAAGUGUCACUGUUAAGAAUUUCUUUAAUAAGCAUGAAGCAAAGCAGCAUAUGCAAAUCAUUAGUCAUUAAUGUCAAGCAACAUGUAGUUUAAUUUAUUUAACAACUUAUUUUCCAAAAAUGUACAGUUAAGUGACAAUUCACAAUUUUUACAGCAAAGUAAACUAAACACAUCUUGUGUUGCCCACAACCCCCUUAUUAUUACACAUUAUUGGCUGGAGCUACACCCCCAUUCAGCACAUGGUUUCAGCAGUAACAACGUAAACAAGCGGCUUUCGUGGUCAACACGUAACUUCCGGUAAACUCCGCUAAGAAUAAAUAACAACAAAGUCCUUUUAGCGUAGUUGAUUUAUAUAACAAGCAAAAUAAACAACACGUAGAUUUGCUAGGAAAUCAAAACAUUUGUUAUUUUCGACGAUCCAAUGCAUCUUGGAAAUCGUAGUCAGUUUACAUCUACACCUAAUUUUUGAACGUGGAAGUAAGUGAUGUGGCGUAUUUUCCUUUUUUGUGCGAGACAUCCAUUUUAAAAGCCAGACGGUAGAAAACAGGGUUGUGGGAGCACGCAUAAAACAUGAUUUAGACAGUUAAGGUAAAUAUUUACUACACCUGCCCAAUGUAUGAACCAGUGUGAGGAUGAAAUUAAAGGUGGGGUGCAUGAUC